rnacentral:rRNA from 1 species
CCCUUAGAUGUUCUGGGCCGCACGCGUGCUACACUGAGUGGAUCAGCGGGUCAGGUUACGCGAGAGCGUUUCCUAAUCUUCAAAUCCGCUCGUGACGGGGAUUGACGGUUGCAAUUUUCCGUCAUGAACGAGGAAUACCUUGUAAGCGCGGGUCAUCAUCCCGCGCUGAAUACGUCCCUGCCCUUUGUACACACCGCCCGUCGCUCCUACCGAUUGAGUGGUCCGGUGAGGCUUUGGGAUCUAAGCGAAAAGAGCGUUUCGCUCCUUUUGCUGGGAGAACUCAGUCGAACCUUAUCAUUUAGAGGAAGGAGAAGUCGUAACA